UACAGAGGGGGCAAGCGUUGUUCGGAAUUACUGGGCGUAAAGCGCGCGUAGGCGGCCUUCUAAGUCGAACGUGAAAUCCCCGGGCUCAACCCGGGAACUGCGUCCGAUACUGGAAGGCUUGAAUCCGGGAGAGGGAUGUGGAAUUCCAGGUGUAGCGGUGAAAUGCGUAGAUAUCUGGAGGAACACCGGUGGCGAAGGCGACAUCCUGGACCGGUAUUGACGCUGAGGCGCGAAAGCUAGGGGAGCAAACGGG
rnacentral:rRNA from 1 species